rnacentral:rRNA from 1 species
UGCGUAGGUGGUUUGUUAAGUCUGAUGUGAAACGCCCCGGGCUCAACCUGGGAAUUGCAUUGGAUACUGGCAGGCUAGAGUGCGGUAGAGGGUAGUGGAAUUCCCGGUGUAGCAGUGAAAUGCGUAGAGAUCGGGAGGAACAUCUGUGGCGAAGGCGACUGCCUGGACCAGCACUGACACUGAGGCACGAAAGCGUGGGAGCAAACA